rnacentral:rRNA from 1 species
GAUGAACGCUAGCUACAGGCUUAACACAUGCAAGUCGAGGGGUAACGAGAGGAAAGCUUGCUUUCCUUGUCGACGACCGGCGCACGGGUGAGUAACGCGUAUCCAACCUGCCCCCAACUAAGGAAUAACCUUGCGAAAGUAAGACUAAUACCUUAUAAUUUCCUCAGAUGUCAUCUGACGAGGAAUAAAGAUUUAUCGGUUGUGGAUGGGGAUGCGUCUGAUUAGCUUGUUGGCGGGGUACCGGCCCACCAAGGCAACGAUCAGUAGGGGUUCUGAGAGGAAGGUCCCCCAGAUUGGAACUGAGACACGGUCCAAACUCCUACGGGAGGCAGCAGUGAGGAAUAUUGGUCAAUGGGCGAAAGCCUGAACCAGCCAAGUAGCGUGCAGGAUGACGGCCCUAUGGGUUGUAAACUGCUUUUAUACAGGAAUAAAGUUAGCCACGUGUGGUUAUUUGUAGGUACUGUAUGAAUAAGGACCGGCUAAUUCCGUGCCAGCAGCCGCAGUAA